ensembl:lncRNA
AUUUCUAAUCAUGAAUGUUUCCCCCCGCGUGGUUAUGUUAAUAUCUGGAAAUGCACAGAUAGAAUGCCGCAGAGGAUUUUUGGUGAGUGUUUAUGUGCUCUGUGAUGAAGGCCGUCUGGAGGGGCCGGGGGGUGGGGGUGGGGGUGGGGGUGGAGGUGGAGGCCUUCGCGUGGGGAGGCACAGACAGCGCUGGUGGCGGUUGUUUCCAGGAAUAUAUCAAAUAAAUCAGGUGUGACGGCCGAGUGGAAAAGUCCGGAGCCUGCCAUGUUCACCUAGUUUUUUAAUUCACUUUCCAAACAUUCUUUUUAAACUCUCAAAUUAAUCUCUUUUCAUUUCUUUCUUUCUUUCUUUCUGUCUGUCUUUCUUUCAUUCUUUUUUUUUUUGCAACGUUACCACACAGCGUCUCUCUUGGUGUUAAAAAAAAAAACGUGGGGAAGGAAAAGAGAGAGGAUCGGUUGAAGGCAUGAAAUCGGAUAUUGAAUGGUGUUUUGCUCCUAUUUCCAGUAAGAGCAGGCACACACACCUCCGACAUGUUAACACACACACACACGCACAUCCCACCCUCACACACUUUCUCCUCAGAUGCGUUUCCAAACACCUCGCUCAAUAAUUGUGUCAGUCGGUGCAGCAGGCCAGCAAUCCAAACAGGAAAAACAGCGAAAUUACCGCGAUCAAGUGCACUGGGAAAAUGGUUAGGGAGGGGGGGAAACAAAGCAGCAGAAGACACGAAAGGAGGGCGGCGAGAUUACCCUUGAAGUCUGCAUCAUACCGACGUUUUGUUUUAAUUGAGGCUAUUCAAAAACGGAAAGCAGGGGUCACGGACAGACGAGGGGAAGAGUACACGAGAGCGAAUCCUCGCGGAAUAACCAUCAGGAUGGCUUUAAUCCCCGAGAAGAUAUUUUUAGCUCUGGCAGGACACUUUUCACUCAAUGAUCUCCCUCAACACACACACACACACACACACACACACACACUCCUUCCAGACGUGUAGAUAGGGACUGCUCUCAGCUGGGAGGGAUUAGCGAAGGUGCGAGGCAGAGGUCUUCGCAUGCAGCCCGGGGCCCGAGAGCGGUCACUCAGGGGUAACGGCAUGUGGACAGCCACUCCUGCCAUCUCCAACGUGAUUCCCAUCCCCAGUGUUCUGUUAUGUGGUGUUGAUGUUCGGCCAGAGGAAAUCUAAAUGGAGUGUGAUUUUUGGAUGGCUGAGCGAGCUGGUCAUUUAUUUUUUUCUUUAAAAGCUUUUUUUUUCUUAUUCUUCUGCACAUAUUCACCAGUGAUAUUACUUUUGGUAAAUUGGGGUAAAUAUUUAUUUUUUUGCUGGAGCAGAUUGGGGUAGAGAGGGGGGAGAGAGUAAGGGUUAAAGAUUGCACCAGAUUAGAUCACUUUCCUUUUUUUGGGCGCCCCUAUUCGUGUCUCCGCACACUUGACCGCUCAUCGCGUCGCCUCCGAGCCGAAUUCUGGAUUCGAUCAGCCCCGAGGUGCGGUUGCCAUGGGAACCGGCGCAAAACAGAAGGCCUUGGCCAGAGCUGAUAAAAAAGAAGUGCUUCGGUGUGACCCCGUGGACCUGUCAGUGCCUCGCUCCACCAGGGCCCACCGUGCACCAUUGUGACACGCCAUUCGUGCGGGCCUUCUACUCGCCUUAUUUACUCUGUUUACAGGGGGGCGGAGGGGUGAGGUGGGGGGUUUGACAGCAGAACAAAUAGGAGACAGGAUAUCAGCACAUUGCUGCACCCUCCUGACUCAUAAACUACCUCAGUGGGCCCUAAUUGAAGCCACAUUCCAUUGGGUGAGGCCUGUGUUCUGUGGUGGUUUCCAUAGCCUUGUGCUGUACAGUAACACACAUAUACAGUACACCCACAAGAAGUCAUGCACACACACAAACAAACACACACACAUACAUUCACACACAAUGGUCUGUCCCUGCUCCAGUUUAUAGUAAUAACCUCAUCCUCAUCAAAUCUGGUGAUAUAAAUGCCAGACAAAGCAAAACACACAUACACAUUC